AUCCAUUUCCACAUUGUACUGAAACUCUCGGCACUGGAAAUUGUCUCAUCAGAAGGAACAUACUGGAAGGUCUGCAAACCAAACUCAGGGCCUUCUGUAUGUGGAGCAUUUGUUGUACCGCUGCCUGAGGACGAGGAAGGGGAAGUUACUGGGCUGGCUUCGAGAGGAACAGUAGACAAGGAGAACUCGAAGUGUAAAAGACAAUCUGACUUACAUUAUCACCCACCCAAGUGAGAAAUGCAGGCAUCAGUGUAACCAAGUGCACCCAUGCUCUACGUGGUGAAAGAUAUGUAUGUAUGCCUGAUGCCUGUGGAGUUCCAAAGCGUUAUUUUGGCUAUGGCUCUCGGGCUUCUUUGAUUUGAUAGCACAUUUGGACCAAUUUCUGCAAACGGACCCUUGGCAUCUCUCUCUGGAACACACCUUGGUAUUCAAACUCUGGCAUUGUGCCUUACAAAUGCAGACAAGAAAUACUUCCACCUUGUGAGUCAACCCUCAAACCCAGGUCAAUCUACAUCGUGAUUAGUGAUCGGAAACAGCAAUGAAGACUAAAAGUUGCAACAUGGCAACCCCUGAAUCAAAUGAAGCUGGCUUGUCUGAUCCACAUCACACUGGUUCAGCUAUGGCUUUGUUUUCAGUAAAUUUGACUAGACUGCUUUAAGAUGAGAGGCCUUUAACAGACUACAGGGAAGAAGAAGAAGAGGAAGAAGAAGAAGAAGA
rnacentral:lncRNA from 1 species